GAACUGAGUCCCAGAGGAGGUGCAGGUGGAGUCAUUGAAGCAACACUGCAGCUGGACCUGGGUCUGAGUCCCUGCUCCUGGCUGUGAGAUGCGCCUCUCCCUCUGUUUAUUCAUCUAAAAGAUAGGGCUGUGCUGUUCUGGGUUUGCUGUGACAAUUGAACUGGCCUCUGUGAGUUGGUGGUGGCCUCCUGAGAUGGCUUGAGAAGUACAGAGGAACCUGGUGCCAGCCUCGGUCAACCCCGAUGUGAUGAUCUUUCUACCCAUCCUCUUUGAUGUCUUGAUUCUGGCUGAUGUCCUUGGCCAGCCCUGCAAGUCCAAUCCUUGGGGGUCUAGGAGGGAAGAAGCCCCUGGCUGUGAGGCCUCGGGCUGGACCCUGGCCCUCUCUGGCUCUGAGUUCCUGGGAAAGUCGGUGGUGUUGGAACUCCGGAUUCAUUCCUCAGCAUUGAGGCACUGUCUGUGGAAGCCGUGGGACAAGGUGAAGGUGGGGAGAGGAGAGGCUUGGAGUUUGGGUUUCAGCAGAGGGAUCAGCAGCGUGAGGGGUCACCUGUGUGUAGAGGAAAGGGAGUGA
rnacentral:lncRNA from 10 species